rnacentral:sRNA from 1 species
GCUAUGUGGAAAGCAGACAGGCGGUUUAGGGAUCCAAGUCUCCCAGUUCCCACGUUAUUGCCAUAGGGGAUGCGGGAUUGAGGGUGCUAUUCUAUGGAAAAUCCAAUUUCAAGGUCGUUGUUCUGGGGUUAUACGGAUCCAGCGCAAGACUCCUUCAGGCCAAUAUAAAUGGUUUUCAUCUGUGAUGAACCUGGCAGCUUUUAGCAAUGGCAGCCAACUUUCUCUCUUGGG